CGGGUGAGUAACGCGUGAGUAACCUGCCUUACACAAGGGGAUAGCCGUUGGAAACGACGAAUAAUACCCUAUGAAACUAUCACUUCGCAUGAAGCGAUAGUCAAAGUGUUAGCGGUGUAAGAUGGACUUGCGUCUGAUUAGCUAGUUGGUGAGAAAAAAGCCCACCAAGGCAACGAUCAGUAGCCGGCUUGAGAGAGUGUACGGCCACAUUGGGACUGAGAUACGGCCCAG
rnacentral:rRNA from 1 species